GGGGUGACGGCGUGCCUUUUGAAGAAUGAGCCUGCGAGUUAGUGCUGCGUGGCGAGGUUAACCCGUGUGGGGUAGCCGUAGCGAAAGCGAGUCCGAAUAGGGCGGUUGAGUCGCGUGGUCUAGACCCGAAGCGGAGUGAUCUAGCCAUGGCCAGGGUGAAGCGUGGGUAAGACUGCGUGGAGGCCCGAACCCACCAGGGUUGAAAACCUGGGGGAUGAGCUGUGGUUAGGGGUGAAAGGCCAAUCAAACUCCGUGAUAGCUGGUUCUCCCCGAAAUGCAUUUAGGUGCAGCGUCGUGUGUUUCGUGCCGGAGGUAGAGCACUGGAUGGUCUAGGGGGCCCACAAGCUUACCGAAAUCAACCAAACUCCGAAUGCCGGUACGUGAGAGCGCGGCAGUGAGACUGCGGGGGAUAAGCUUCGUAGUCGAGAGGGAAACAGCCCAGAACGCCGGCUAAGGCCCCUAAGUGUGUGCUAAGUGGGAAAGGAUGUGGGGUCGCCCAGACAACCAGGAGGUUGGCUUAGAAGCAGCCACCCUUUAAAGAGUGCGUAAUAGCUCACUGGUCAAGUGGUCCUGCGCCGACAAUGUAGCGGGGCUCAAGCACACCGCCGAAGCCGUGUCAUUCCGAUUAUGUCGGGAUGGGUAGGGGAGCGUCGUUCAGCCAUUGAAGCGCCGGAGUGAUCCAGGUGUGGAGGCUGGACGAGUGAGAAUGCAGGCAUGAGUAGCGAAAGCAGAGUGGGAAACUCUGCCGCCGGAUGACCAAGGGUUCCUGGGCCAGGCUAAUCCGCCCAGGGUAAGUCGGGACCUAAGGCGAGGCCGACAGGCGUAGUCGAUGGACAACGGGUUGAUAUUCCCGUACCCGUGUGAACGCGCCCAUGGCGAACCUUGUGAUACUAACCGCCCGAAGCCUCCUGAAAGUCUUCGGACGAUCGGGAUCGUGGAGCGCGGGACCUGAACUUGUAGUAGUCAAGCGAUGGGGUGACGCAGGAGGGUAGCUCCGCCAGUGAGUGGUAGUACUGGUGUAAGCGUGUAGGCCGCAGCAUAGGCAAAUCCGUGUUGCAUGAAGGCUGAGACGUGAUGCAUAGCCGAUUGAGGCGAAGUAGGGUGAUCCCAUGCUGUCGAGAAAAGCCUCUAGUGAGUGUUCACGCGGCCCGUACCCCAAACCGACACAGGUGGUCAGGUAGAGAAUACCGAGGCGAUCGGGCGAACUGUGGUUAAGGAACUCGGCAAAAUGCCCCCGUAACUUCGGGAGAAGGGGGGCCGAGGGAUUUGAAGCCUUUUUCGGGCUAGGAUUUUUCGGCCGCAGAGACCAGCGAGAAGCGACUGUUUACUAAAAACACAGGUCCGUGCGAAGUCGCAAGACGAUGUAUACGGACUGACGCCUGCCCGGUGCUGGAACGUUAAGGGGACCGGUUAGUCUUUCGGGGCGAAGCUGAGAACUUAAGCGCCAGUAAACGGCGGUGGUAACUAUAACCAUCCUAAGGUAGCGAAAUUCCUUGUCGGGUAAGUUCCGACCUGCACGAAUGGCGUAACGACUUCUCGACUGUCUCAACCACAGGCCCGGCGAAAUUGCAUUACGAGUAAAGAUGCUCGUUACGCGCGGCAGGACGGAAAGACCCCGGGACCUUUACUAUAGCUUGGUAUUGGUGUUCGGUUCGGCUUGUGUAGGAUAGGUGGGAGACUGUGAAGCGGCCACGCCAGUGGUUGUGGAGUCGUCGUUGAAAUACCACUCUGGUCGUACUGGAUGUCUAACCUCGGUCCGUGAUCCGGAUCAGGGACAGUGCCUGGUGGGUAGUUUAACUGGGGCGGUUGCCUCCCAAAGGGUAACGGAGGCGCUCAAAGGUUCCCUCAGCCUGGUUGGCAAUCAGGUGUCGAGUGCAAGUGCACAAGGGGGCUUGACUGUGAGACCGACGGGUCGAGCAGGGACGAAAGUCGGAACUAGUGAUCCGGCCAUGGCUUGUGGAAGCGUGGUCGCUCAACGGAUAAAAGGUACCCCGGGGAUAACAGGCUGAUCUUGCCCAAGAGUCCAUAUCGACGGCAUGGUUUGGCACCUCGAUGUCGGCUCGUCGCAUCCUGGGGCUGGAGUAGGUCCCAAGGGUUGGGCUGUUCGCCCAUUAAAGCGGUACGCGAGCUGGGUUUAGAACGUCGUGAGACAGUUCGGUCCCUAUCCGCCGCGCGCGUAGGAUACUUGCGGAAGGCUGUCCCUAGUACGAGAGGACCGGGACGGACGGACCUCUGGUGUGCCAGUUGUCCUGCCAAGGGCAUUGCUGGUUGGCUACGUUCGGAAGGGAUAACCGCUGAAAGCAUCUAAGCGGGAAGCUCGUUCCUAGAUGAGGUAUCCCACCCUUCGUGGGGUAAGGCCCCCAAGAGACUAUUGGGUUGAUAGGCCGGAGAUGGAAGGUCGGUAACGGCUGGAGUUGACCGGUACUAAUAGGCCGAGGACUUGCUCAC
rnacentral:rRNA from 1 species